CCCUAGAUCUGGUUCUUCGUUCUCCUUCUCUUAAACUCUGUCGCUCCAUAACCCUAACUCUCAAUUCGCCAUGGAGGAUGCCUAUCUGACCCGUGUAUGUUGACCCGCUAUAUUUUGACUCAUCUACGUUAUUUUCCAAAACCCUAGACAGCCUUCCUUUCCAUUCUGCUUCAUCUCCAUUCUGGUUCACGCAUAUGCAUUCGAACGAUUCAAGCAUCAGUUACUAUGGAGAAAUCAGAGUCGGUGGUAGCCAAAACAAGAGAGGGACGUAGAUUUUGACUGGUUGGAAGAUAGAGAAAAGAAGUGGGUGAUGGUGGAUUCAAGCGAUUCUGUAUUUGUUGAUAUGGAAACGAUUUAUCUUGGUGGAAAGUGGAGUGUUUGUAACUAUUAUGAAGAUUUUUUAUGAUUCCAACAAGAUGGUCAACAUAAAAUACAUGACAUUAACAACACCAGUCAACUUAAACAAGUUCUUGGAAGCCAUCAAGAUACAUGUAUUUGUUGCAUCUGAAUAUCCUUUCAUCCUCACUCUUGAAGAUCACCUGACUCCUGAUUUUUGGUUUCUUUGCAAGGUUAUUCAUGCAGUUUACAUGGUUUUUGCUAUAGAUAUGGAGUAAGGACUAAAGCCGGUAAGAAACAAUCAUCAGAAGAUGAAGAUGCUGGUGUCAAAAUAGCACAUUCUGCAGGAGCUUCAAUUCGACGACACAAUGAACUUGCCUUAAAUAAGUGGGACAGGUAAAAGAGCUAUAUGAUGAAAUAUGACUUCGUUCACCUCACUGAGCGGUGGAUGCAGUUAGACUAUGAUUUGUAACGCAAGUGUGUGGAGGUGACUUCACUGAGCGGUGGAUGCGGUAGUAUUGUACAUGAACGAACUUCAUGAGAAGAAGGAUGAGAAGGUUCAACCAGUCAAAAAGAAGAAAUCAUGGACUCAAACUUUCUUUUCAAUGUCUAACAAACGCAAGCGGAUCACCAUGACUAACUGAACACGUAACUUGCACGAGUGUCAAACCGUCAAUGAGUUUUUAUGAGAUGCUGAGCUGUCAUGGGCUGGAACUAUGAACAAACCUAAGUUCUUCAAUUCUGUGAAAUCAGUACAUUACAAGGGGCUUUCGAUUGCAGAUGAAGGAAGGUAGAGGUGGGAGGACAGCGCGAUGCAUGCAAAGAACCAGAUGUUGAUACUGGAAUCCCGUUUAAAGCUGAUGCAAUGAUAGCCAAUCCCCCAGCAUAUAUGGCCUACAAGCGAAUUUCCUCAUCCUCUAUCUCGUGUCAAGCAACCGGCUGGUUAUAGACCGUCAUAUCAAAUAGUUGACUCUUUGAUUUGGCUUGGAAUUCGGGACAUGAUAAAUGAUUUUAGGAAGAAAAAGUUAAAGUUGCGGCCUGUCGCCUGUCACAUAUUUAAGUGGCUCUCAAGCCGAAAGAUAUGCAAUGAUAAAGAUCAAGCAAAUUCAUGGUUUCGUGGCUUAAAACUGUACUUUACUCGCUUUGUUUUUUUUUUUUUUAAAUUAAGGAAUUUUGGCUUGAGUUGUAGUCAUAUAAGUUUAAUAAAUUUUGGCCUUAUUAAGUUUUUAAACUAUAAUUUGUUUAACCAAGUGAUAUUAAGCCGAUAAUAAUUGAUUUUGUUAUGUUUCAUGUUGACAUAUAUGUGUGGUGUAGACGGUGUGUAUGUAUAUAGUGUGUUCCGCUACUUUAUUUGGUUUGACCUUUUUUUUUACUUUUUAGAAAGGUAUCUUGCUAUUCUUUGUGACCGAUUGGGUAAUAAAAUACCCACUUCAAAAUUACAACUUUUAAUUUAUUUAAAGAAGGGGAAAGUGAAUACGGUGCUGUCACACACCUAAGCUUAGGUGCAAAACCUCUCAAAACUACGUCGUUUUGAUUAAAAAACCCUAAAAUAAAAACUAUAUACACAUUUUACUCCUUCCUUU
rnacentral:lncRNA from 1 species